AAAGAGAGGGGAAGUUAGCUAGAGUCCAAGGAGUAAGUUCAUUGGCUUGAGGACGGGAAGAGGUUCUUGGCAAACGUUCAUUGGUUGAGGGCUAAGUUCCGGUUCUUGGGGACCAUGAGAUGUACUGCUUGCAGCUUUACUAACUAGGAGCAUUUCCUGCAUAACUGUCCUUCAGGGCCUCAACCAAAUGAGGCUACAAUACCACAGCAUUCUAGUUUCAGCUCCGCAUAUUAUGCAGAAUCUUCUCCCUGCUGCAAAUUAUUGCAAACUGCCCCAUCUUACCUCUACUGGUUAAGUGCCACCAUGGGAUCUCACCAUCUUCAUUGUAACAAAAGAGUCCAUUCAAUGGCAGUGCCUCCUGCCUUUAUCCAAGGUCCAUCCACUUUUCAAAGAAGAUGGUGCUCUGCUCGCCAAUGUAUUUCUCAAUCUUGUGGUGAAGAGGAUGUUCUUUUGGAAUUCUGGGGAGUUGACACCAUGACUAUCAGGUUAGCAGGUAUAUGCAACAUACUGAAUCCACUCUUCCAGAACCAGAUGACUCACCCGUCAUUAUUAUAGUUUAUUAUCCCCCUACCAUUGUGAUAAGCAAACCCAGAAGCCAUGAAUUGAAUGAUGGCAUCAAAAAAAUGGAAAGAGCUUGAAUCUCUGAAUGAUGUUAUGAAGCAGAAUCCUGCUCCGACCUCAUUGGAUAAUGAAUGAUUGAAUAAUAAACUUUUAUGUGUUAAGCC
rnacentral:lncRNA from 1 species